rnacentral:rRNA from 1 species
GGUUCUGUUUCAUUGUUGAGGAAGAACGCCCGCCGGCCGGCCCUACUACGUGCAAGUUAGAGCGGAUCCAUAGAAAAGGCUUGGUUUUCAUAAGUUUAGCGGCGGAGGGGUGAGUAACAGGUGGGAAACUUACCGGUAGGACUGGGAUAAUUUACGAAAACGGGAGUUAUUCCCGGAUAGUUUCAGUACCGGCAGGUGAAGUUAUGAAAAGAUGGCUUUUAGUUUCAACUUACGGAUGGACCGGCGGGCCAUAAGUUAGUGGUUGGGUUAAGGGCUAACAAGGGGAAGGAGGGUUGGCGACCUUGGGGGGGGGUUGGGCCAAAUGGGGAUUAAAACAGGGCCCAAAUUCUUACGGGAGGCACCGGUAGGGAUUUUUCGCAAAGGGAGGAAAUUCGGAGGGAGAAAGGCGGGGGGAGGGAAGAAGGUUUUGGGUUGUUAAAGUUUUGUUGUUAGGGAGGACCAAGUACCUGAGAAACUGGCGGUACCUUGACGGUACCUAACCAGAAAGCCACGGCUAACUACGUGCCAGCAGCCGCGGUAAUACGUAGGUGGCAAGCGUUGUCCGGAAUCAUUGGGCGUAAAGCGCGCGCAGGCGGUCUUUUAAGUCUGAUGUGAAAUCCCCCGGCUCAACCGCAAGCGGUCAUUGGAAACUGGGGGACUUGAGUGCAGAAGAGGAAAGCGGAAUUCCAUGUGUAGCGGUGAAAUGCGUAGAGAUAUGGAGGAACACCAGUGGCGAAGGCGACUUUCUGGUCUGUAACUGACGCUGAGGCGCGAAAGCGUGGGGAGCAAACAGGAUUAGAUACCCUGGUAGUCCACGCCGUAAACGAUGAGUGCUAAGUGUUGGAGGGUUUCCGCCCUUUCAGUGCUGCAGCUAAACGCAUUAAGCACUCCCCCCUGGAGACG